rnacentral:tRNA from 1 species
AGGGGUUUAGCUCCAGUGGUAGAGCGAGCGACUCCAAAUCGCUAGGUCGUGGGUUCGAAUCCCUCAGCCCCUGCCA